UGUUCUUGUGCCUUGGAUGUAUUCUUUAUUUUUUAUGAUAGCAGGGGAAUUAGUGGAGGGUUAAUUGUUCAGUGCUUAUAGCUCUGUCUUUCCAGUUUACUGCAGAGCGAAAUACUGUAAAGACAAAGUAAAUAUUGUUUGACUUCUUCCCCUCCAGCCUCCCUUCUUUUCCAGUUUUCAAGAUGUGCAAGAUACUGAAGAGAUGGCAGUACAGAUGGGAAUACAAAUUUCCACAGCUCACUUCUAAGGAUUUCUGCUUUGCUAUAGACCUUGCUGAAUCCUGCCAAGAAACAAGUUGUGGACGGCAUUUUACAUGCAUAAUACAAUAGCAAAAU
ensembl:lncRNA